AGGGUUUGAUCCUGGCUCAGGACGAACGCUGGCGGCGUGCCUAACACAUGCAAGUCGAGCGAAGUGUUUAGGAAUGAUAUUUUCGAAUUGACUUCCUAAACAUCUUAGCGGCAAACGGGUGAGUAACGCGUGAGGAACCUGCCUUUCACAAAGGGAUAGCCUCGGGAAACUGGGAUUAAUACCUUAUGAUACUGAUAUGGCGCAUGCCAAAUUAGUUAAAGCGCAAAGCGGUGAAAGAUGGCCUCGCGUCCCAUUAGCUAGUUGGUGAGGUAAAGGCUCACCAAGGCUGCGAUGGGUAACCGGCCUGAGAGGGUGAACGGUCACACUGGAACUGAGACACGGUCCAGACUCCUACGGGAGGCAGCAGUGGGGAAUAUUGCACAAUGGAGGAAACUCUGAUGCAGCGACGCCGCGUGAGUGAAGAAGGCUUUCGAGUCGUAAAACUCUGUCCUUGGGGACGAUAAUGACGGUACCCAAGGAGGAAGCCCCGGCUAACUACGUGCCAGCCGCCGCGGUAAUUC
rnacentral:rRNA from 1 species